AAUCAACGCUGGCGGCGUGCCUCAGACAUGCAAGUCGAACGAUUAAAGCUCUCUUCGGAGAGUGUAUAGAGUGGCGCACGGGGUGAGUAACACGUAAGUAAUCUACCUUCGAGUGGGGAAGUAACACCGAGAAAUACGGUGCUAAUACCGCAUAAUGCAGCGGCAUCGCAAGAUGACAGUUGUUAAAGAUUUAUCGCUUGAAGAGGAG
rnacentral:rRNA from 1 species